UACGUAGGGUGCGAGCGUUGUCCGGAAUUAUUGGGCGUAAAGAGCUCGUAGGCGGUCUGUCGCGUCUGCUGUGAAAUCCCCGAGGCUCAACCUCGGGCCUGCAGUGGGUACGGGCAGACUAGAGUGCAGAAGGGGGCAACUGGAAUCUCGGUGUAGCGGUGAAAUGCGUAGAUAUCGAGAGGAACACCUGCGGCGAAGGCGGGUUGCUGGGCUGACACUGACGCUGACAGCGCGAAAGCUAGGGGAGCGAACGGG
rnacentral:rRNA from 1 species